UCGCCAACAGCAUACUGAAAGUUCUCAUGUCUCAAACAAACUGGACAAUCGUCUUGCUGUCUGUCAUGAUGUCUGGUCCAGAUGUCCUGGAGGCGACCACUUUUCCCAGCAUCGUUAGGAAACCAUUG
rnacentral:ribozyme from 1 species